rnacentral:lncRNA from 1 species
ACUUAAUAAGCUUCCAUUAAGGUGAAGCCACUGAUGAGGAGAACAAGGCAGGAAGUCAAAGUAUCUACAAACCCUCAACAGCUGGAUCAUCUGCUGAAGAAGAGACAAGGCAAGACAAAUGGUCAAAUAUCAGAGAAAGAAAAUAGCCAGUCAUCAGAAAAUCAAUAAACCUGAGGGAGCAAUGCUAAGCAAGCCAGCAAGACUCUAGGCACUUGGCCCCGACAGCAAAGAAAGGACCCUGAUACUAACUACUGAGGCUGAUCCUUGUCUCAGCUUCAGUCACUUUUAUUUCUUUCUGUCCCCAGUGAAAGUCUGUCUUCUUGAGAAAGCCUGCCUGGAGGCCUUCAGGUGAUAAGAAAAAGCAGGUGACCAGGGAAGCAUCUGUGCAGGGCCCAUGACAGACUUAGUUCUGGGCAGGGAAAUUGACUAGUAUUCUCUUUAAAAAUAUGAAAGAAAUAAUAUCUUGUUUAGCACCAACUAAGGUCCCUUUCCCCUUUUUGGUGAAUUUUUAUAUGCAUUUAUUCUACAGAAUAGUAAACUCUACAAAAUUUUUGGCCUUCAAAUUUUGUUGUACUUUCUACAUCUGCAUCUGAAAGACCUGAAAGCAAACACUGGCUCCACAGGGAAAAAAAACCCAAUGAGGGCAGCAUACUAGUCAGCACUAUGUGAAGUGGACUUUCAUCUCUUCUCUCUUCCUCUUCCCCUCCCAUUCCCACCAUCUAAUGAAGAAACGAUGGAAAGGAAAGGAUGAACAACUCCCUGCUUCAUUGGAAAUGGAAGAAGACCACAAAGGGAUUCCCAUGCUCCAAAGGCUUUCAAGACAGACUUUCAGCCAUCUCCUUAUUACUGCCGCUUAUUAGAUUUGAGAAAUCCAGAAGAAGCAGACAGUUGGAAUGGUUUUCCCAAGAACCUGAUUGUACUGGGGUCUGUUUUCUGCAAGCAAAUAUUAGUGCUCUCCUAAGCAAGUAAAAUGAGGAGAGAGCAAGAGGAG